rnacentral:misc_RNA from 1 species
GAGAACAUCGCCCGCGAGGGUGACUCUCCAACCCUAUGUUAAUUAUACCUUUGUUGCUUUGGCGAGCCGCUCCGGCCACCGGCUUACGCUGGUGAGUGCUCGCCAGAGGACCCUAAACUCUGUUUAUACAUGUCGUCUGAGUACUAUAUAAUAGUUAAAACUUUCAACAACGGAUCUCUUGGUUCU